GACGAACGCUGGCGGCGUGCUUAACACAUGCAAGUCGAACGGAAAGGCCCUGCUUUUGUGGGGUGCUCGAGUGGCGAACGGGUGAGUAACACGUGAGUAACCUGCCCUUGACUUUGGGAUAACUUCAGGAAACUGGGGCUAAUACCGGAUAGGAGCUCCUGCUGCAUGGUGGGGGUUGGAUAGUUUCGGCGGUUGGGGAUGGACUCGCGGCUUAUCAGCUUGUUGGUGGGGUAGUGGCUUACCAAGGCUUUGACGGGUAGCCGGCCUGAGAGGGUGACCGGCCACAUUGGGACUGAGAUACGGCCCAGACUCCUACGGGAGGCAGCAGUGGGGAAUAUUGCACAAUGGGCGGGAGCCUGAUGCAGCAACGCCGCGUGCGGGAUGACGGCCUUCGGGUUGUAAACCGCUUUCGCCUGUGACGAAGCGUGAGUGACGGUAAUGGGUAAAGAAGCACCGGCUAACUACGUG
rnacentral:rRNA from 1 species